rnacentral:rRNA from 1 species
GAUGAACGCUGGCGGCGUGCCUAAUACAUGCAAGUCGAGCGAACGGACGAGAAGCUUGCUUCUCUGAUGUUAGCGGCGGACGGGUGAGUAACACGUGGAUAACCUACCUAUAAGACUGGGAUAACUUCGGGAAACCGGAGCUAAUACCGGAUAAUAUUUUGAACCGCAUGGUUCAAAAGUGAAAGACGGUCUUGCUGUCACUUAUAGAUGGAUCCGCGCUGCAUUAGCUAGUUGGUAAGGUAACGGCUUACCAAGGCAACGAUGCAUAGCCGACCUGAGAGGGUGAUCGGCCACACUGGAACUGAGACACGGUCCAGACUCCUACGGGAGGCAGCAGUAGGGAAUCUUCCGCAAUGGGAGAAAGCCUGACGGAGCAACGCCGCGUGAGUGAUGAAGGUCUUCGGAUCGUAAAACUCUGUUAUUAGGGAAGAACAUAUGUGUAAGUAACUGUGCACAUCUUGACGGUACCUAAUCAGAAAGCCACGGCUAACUACGUG